UAACUGAAGAGUCAACUCUUGUCUGUUGC
rnacentral:piRNA from 1 species